UACAGAGGGUGCGAGCGUUGUCCGGAAUCACUGGGCGUAAAGGGCGCGCAGGCGGUCGUCCAAGUCGCGUGUGAAAGCCCCCGGCUCAACUGGGGAGGGUCACGCGAUACUGGUCGACUCGAAGGCAGGAGAGGGUAGUGGAAUUCCCGGUGUAGUGGUGAAAUGCGUAGAUAUCGGGAAGAACACCCGUGGCGAAGGCGGCUCUCUGGGACGGUACUGACGCUGAGACGCGAAAGCGUGGGGAGCGAACAGG
rnacentral:rRNA from 1 species